rnacentral:sRNA from 1 species
CGUGAAAGGGUUCUUCAGCGGGGUUUGGUGGCCAGAAUUUAUUAUAAGGUACUGUCUUUUCAUGUGAAAAUGGAAAUUUAGAAAUCUAGAACAGGCUUCAGCUGCUGAAUCUUGAUACACCUACUGGGGGAAGAAGCAAUGGCUAAUGACAACAGCUCACACUCAUCACGUGUCCAUCCUGGGCCAGGCCCCGUGCUAGGCACUUUUCAGUGUCACAUCGAAAAAUGGCAGUGGGUGCCCAGGCCAGCCAGCAGCAUGGAAUCCAGGUAUCUCAAACCUCUCUCCCUGCCGCUUGCAAAGACAUUCAUAAGUUUUCUUGAAGUUCUGAAAAGUGAGUGGGUUUUAGUAUUCUUAAAGGCUUAGCCAAAAAUGUAAGUCCCUUAGUUACAGUAAAAUACAUAAAAAUGCUUAGUUGAAACUUCAAAUUUAUAGCUAAAUAAAAAAUUAAGGAAC